UUCAGUAAUCGCAAAUAAUGUUUCAUAGGUGGCCCAAUUUGAUCGGAUGUGAUAUCGGAAUGCUGUAAAAGACGAAAGUAAAGUUAACAGUUUUGCUGGGUAGUGGCUGCAAUAUUAUAUGCAUGCAGAUAAGAGCGUGAUUCAUGUUUUCCACUGAUGAGUUACCGUCGUGUGUGAAUCUACCUUUGCUCCUCAAAGCAAAUCCGAUGGGAUCAAGAUUGAACUAAUAGUUUGGCGAACCAGCGUGUGAACCAGUGUGUGAAGCUACCUUUAGUUUCUAAACUUUGUAACAAGUUAUUUUGUAAUAACUCGUACCUUUUCCUAGUUUACUUGUAAG
rnacentral:lncRNA from 1 species